rnacentral:rRNA from 1 species
UUGACCUCGAAUCAGGUAGGAAUACCCGCUGAACUUAAGCAUAUCAAUAAGCGGAGGAAAAGAAACCAACAGGGAUUGCCCCAGUAACGGCGAGUGAAGCGGCAACAGCUCAAAUUUGAAAUCUGGCCCCCCGGGGCCCGAGUUGUAAUUUGCAGAGGAUGCUUUUGGCGAGGCGCCUUCCGAGUUCCCUGGAACGGGACGCCAUAGAGGGUGAGAGCCCCGUCUGGUCGGACGCCGAGCCUCUGUAAAGCUCCUUCGACGAGUCGAGUAGUUUGGGAAUGCUGCUCUAAAUGGGAGGUAUAUGUCUUCUAAAGCUAAAUACCGGCCAGAGACCGAUAGCGCACAAGUAGAGUGAUCGAAAGAUGAAAAGCACUUUGAAAAGAGGGUUAAAUAGUACGUGAAAUUGUUGAAAGGGAAGCGCUUGUGACCAGACUUGGGCCCGGCGGAUCACCCAGCGUUCUCGCUGGUGCACUCCGGCGGGCCCAGGCCAGCAUCAGCUCGUCCCGGGGGACAAAGGCGGUGGGAACGUGGCUCCUCCGGGAGUGUUAUAGCCCACCGCGCAAUGCCCUGGGGCGGGCUGAGGACCGCGCAUCUGCAUGGAUGCUGGCGUAAUGGUCAUCAGCGACCCGUCUUGAA